rnacentral:rRNA from 1 species
AUUGAACGCUGGCGGCAUGCUUUACACAUGCAAGUCGAACGGCAGCGCGGGCUUCGGCCUGGCGGCGAGUGGCGAACGGGUGAGUAAUACAUCGGAACGUGCCCAGUAGUGGGGGAUAGCUCGGCGAAAGCCGGAUUAAUACCGCAUACGACCUGAGGGUGAAAGCGGGGGAUCUUCGGACCUCGCGCUAUUGGAGCGGCCGAUGGCGGAUUAGCUAGUUGGUGGGGUAAAGGCCUACCAAGGCGACGAUCUGUAGCUGGUCUGAGAGGACGACCAGCCACACUGGGACUGAGACACGGCCCAGACUCCUACGGGAGGCAGCAGUGGGGAAUUUUGGACAAUGGGCGAAAGCCUGAUCCAGCAAUGCCGCGUGUGUGAUGAAGGCCUUCGGGUUGUAAAGCACUUUUGGCGGGAACGAAAAGGACUGUGCCAAUACCACGGCUCGAUGACGGUACCCGCAGAAUAAGCACCGGCUAACUACGUG